AUACAUGCAAGUCGAACGGGGAGUAUUAAUUUCGGUUUUUACUCCUAGUGGCGAACGGGUGAGUAACGCGUUGGUGACCUGCCCCGAAGCGGGAGAUAACAGUUCGAAAGGACUGCUAAUACCCCAUGUGGUCGUACAGGUUAGAGGCUGAACGACUAAAGGAGCAAUCCACUUCGGGAGGGGCCUGCGUCCCAUCUGCUAGUUGGUAAGGUAACGGCCUAACAAGGCGAUGACGGGUAGGGGACCUGAGAGGGUGGUCCCCCACACUGGCACUGAAACACGGGCCAGACACCUACGGGUGGCAGCAGUAGGGAAUAUUGCACAAUGGGCGAAAGCCUGAUGCAGCAACGCCGCGUGCGCGAAGAAGGCCUUCGGGUUGUAAAGCGCUUUUCUGGAGGAAGAGGAAGGACGGUACUCCAGGAAUAAGGAUCGGCUAACUACGUGCCAGCAGCCGCGGUAACACGUAGGAUCCGAGCGUUAUCCGAAUUUACUGGGCGUAAAGCGCGUGUAGGCGGCCGGGUAAGUUGGACGUGAAAGCUCCUGGCUUAACUAGGAGAGGUCGUUCAAAACUGCCUGGCUAGAGGGCGACAGA
rnacentral:rRNA from 1 species